CUUCUAGGUCCAUUCAAGCAUAAGGAAUUAAGGAGGAAAGCACAAGCCGUUCCGAGUCUCAAACGAAGAACGAUAAAGGUAAAGCGACUUGCUAAAUGACGCUACUUGGAUCGAACACGCCCAUGAUGCACGCUUCCGCAAGGAUAUUAGUUUGGGUCAAAACUUUUGUUAAAUAUACUUUUGGUAAAUGGGUCUUUUUGUAAGUAACAAACUUGUUCGUUGUUAGAUGUCAAACUCGUAGUCAAAGACAAUGUUAGUUGUUUAUGGAAUGUUGGGUUGUAAGUUAUUUAACAUCUCCUAGUUAGUCAUGUUAUGGUUAAA